GGCCGACCUGAUGGGCAGGGAGAUGAAGCAUGUGUUAGAGCUGCUAAAGGGAGUUAUGGUUAGAAGUUCUUCAAGGGUGUGCGUGCUGUGCCAGGUUUUACUGUACAGAACACCUGCUGGGUUAGAAGGCUGGGACAGUUAACACUGUGUCCAAACUUCAGUACUCAGAGCACGGCAGAGGGAAGCACCAGAGUUCAACCCACAAGGAAGAAGGUUUAUCCAAUGUUAGGUAGAAAGAUGUGUGGGAAAACUGGUAUCCAGUUCACACAGACUUAGGAGGAAGCAUCUGAGAGUAAUGUUAGGCAGUGUCAGAAGGUGCUGGCAGCUGUUAAGGGGGAGGUGUAGACCUCACCUAUCCUCUGCUUCCUGUUCCCCCUGCUUCCGUUCUUGGUUGCCUGUGGAAAUACCAGGCAUCUAGGGAGACUGUAGUAGUGUGUGUGUGACCUAUUCGAUUGGAGAAUAAGAAAAGUGACUACUUACCUGUACCCAGGAAUGAGGUAUUGAAUCCCCCAUGGCGGCUGUAGUGGCAGCUUUGGGCUACCAGCCCCCAGGGAGUCUCCCUGUAGAAGAAAUGGGAGAUGAAGGGGAAGAGGCUCAGGAUGAAAGGUGGUAUGGAGAGGUCAGAGGAGAAAGGAGGAAUAGCAGGGAACAAAGGUGAAGAGAAGCAGCUACCACCCCACAGGGCUCUUGUCUAAGGUUGUUCCUAGCAAAGACAGGGGAGGGCUAUACCAUCCUGCUGUGUUGCCUUAUUCUAAUUGGGCUGGGUGUGAUGUCAUCUCAUUAUGUCAUUUGAUUGUCAUAAAAAUACUGAGGCAUGCAGAAAGGAGCUUGUAGAACCAUGGUGUCCAAAUGUCUGAUUCCCUUAAUAUGAUUCUCUUAAAUAUAAGAAAUCUCAGGCCACAGUAGCAAGAAGGAAGGGCAGUCUUUAGAGAUGAUCAACCUUGUUGGGCUGCUGUUAUUAUUAAUACUAUUACUAUUAUUAUUAUUGACAGCCUUUCACUUGGUCGCCUUGGCUGGACUGCAACUUGCUAUGUAGGUUAUCUUCAAAUUCUUAUCAAGAUCUGCCUACCUCUGCCUCCCAAGGGUUGGGAUUAAAGGCAUGAGCCACCAUGCCCCAUACCCUGUGAGGAUUAUAGAUAGUAGGCAGGACUUGUCUUGAGAGAGUACUGUGAGGUUUGUGGUACAGACAUGAGGUCAGAGAGUAGGAGAAAGGAGAGGGACCCAGAAACAGUUCUGAGGCUAGUGGGCCCCAAGCUCCCAACAAAUCCACACCUUAUCACAGCUGGCCAGGGAAGGAGAUAGAUGUUAUUGGGUGUAGGGGACCUAAGGCUCCCAAAUUAGUAGAGGUCUACACAGAGCCAUUGCAACUCUAGAAUAGAACUGGCAAUAAAUGUGGGGAGAGGCAGAGACUCAGAAGGGGUCUGGGGGCUUUGAGCUCUGCUGCAGGUCUCACAACUGAAGAUUAAGAGGGUAGAGACUACUGAAACCCCAAGAAGAGCAUGAAGCACAAACAAAGCUGAAACCGUAAGGUGUUUUUCGCUGAAAAUGUCAAUUUAGAAAAUACAGAAGAACCCACACUUUAUUGAGACAACACUGAGAGGGAAAAGGAGUCAGGAAGGAGUAAGGGAGGAGGGAGGUCCUGCUCCCAAGGACUUAGGGACACAGUGAGGCACCUGAUCUAAUGCAUUUAGAGGGUGGGUGUGGGAGGAAGAGGGGUCCUUCUAUACCCUGGGCAUGGAAGCAGGGAAGGAGGCUCUUGGUAGGAAGGAAAAAGAAGGCGGGGCAGCACAAGGGUGGUCCCCAUCUCAUCUCAAGACACUCUCACAAGUUUAUUUACUAGGGAGGCAGGGAGGACAGCAGGGAUUCCAGGAUCUAAAGAACCAGGCUUAUCUUCAGAGACCCAGCUAAGUGGUCCUGGAGUGUUUGCAGGGGAUCUAGUACCCAGAGACAGACUCCGCUUAUCUGAACAAAGGGUGGAGUCUGUUAGUCUCCUGCAGAGGCCCCCAGUAGCCUUAGCCUGACAUAUCUACAUAACACUUGCAGGGUAAGAGUUUGGCAACUUUGGGAGGAGAAGCCACCCCCUCGUCCUACCAGCACGAACUGCUCUGAAGCAGAGCUUGUCAGACUAAUGGGGCAGGUUUGUUUGGCAGGAAGAUGCAGGAUUAGAGCUACUAGUGGGCACUGUGGAGGGAUUUAAUCCACUGGCAGGACACCCCUUAAAGGUUUCCCUGGCAGAGGAGGCCCUGGGAUCUCUGGUGGUCUGGAGUCUGACUAUAAGCAGAGUGUGCUUCUCUAGGGAGUCAGUAGGAGCCAUUUAGCCGAGAGAUCUGGGAACAGAACAGCCUGUCUGUGGGAGAGUAUCAUAGCACAGGUCGGGAGUAUAGGGGUGUCUUCUGUGGUAAGAAAAGCUACAAAGUAUUAGGCUAUUUAGAACCCUGGCAACCCAUUCGUUCAAGAAAGAGGAAGAAAAAAAAUGUGGAGUGGGUUGCAAGUUGUAGGAGGGAGCGCGUCUGCCCUCCCAGGUUUCCUGUCAGUAUCGACUCUCAUCAGAUCGGGGAAGGGAGCUGUAGAGGGAUGUUAUGAUCAGGAGAAGGGGAGAGGGAAGGUAGGGGAGA
rnacentral:sRNA from 1 species